UAACCUGCCCAAGAGACUGGGAUAACACCUGGAAACAGAUGCUAAUACCGGAUAACAACACUAGACGCAUGUCUAGAGUUUAAAAGAUGGUUCUGCUAUCACUCUUGGAUGGACCUGCGGUGCAUUAGCUAGUUGGUAUGGUAACGGCUUACCAAGGCAAUGAUGCAUAGCCGAGUUGAGAGACUGAUCGGCCACAUUGGGACUGAGACACGGCCCAAACUCCUACGGGAGGCAGCAG
rnacentral:rRNA from 1 species